UAUCAAGCCCUCGGGGUGGAGAGACACGCCAAAGUGCAAAUUUGGAGACGCACCCAGAAAGGUGCCGGGGCUUCUCCCGUUU
rnacentral:tRNA from 1 species